AGCGAACGCUGGCGGCAGGCCUAACACAUGCAAGUCGAACGAACUCUUCGGAGUUAGUGGCGGACGGGUGAGUAACACGUGGGAACGUGCCUUUAGGUUCGGAAUAACCCAGGGAAACUUGUGCUAAUACCGAAUGUGCCCUUCGGGGGAAAGAUUUAUCGCCUUUAGAGCGGCCCGCGUCUGAUUAGCUAGUUGGUGAGGUAACGGCUCACCAAGGCGACGAUCAGUAGCUGGUCUGAGAGGAUGGCCAGCCACACUGGGACUGAGACACGGCCCAGACUCCUACGGGAGGCAGCAGUGGGGAAUCUUGCGCAAUGGGCGAAAGCCUGACGCAGCCAUGCCGCGUGAAUGAUGAAGGUCUUAGGAUUGUAAAAUUCUUUCACCGGGGACGAUAAUGACGGUACCCGGAGAAGAAGCCCCGGCUAACUUCGUGCCAGCAGCCGCGGUAA
rnacentral:rRNA from 1 species